rnacentral:rRNA from 1 species
AGGUAGCAUAAUCAUUAGUUCAUUAAUUGUGAGCUUGUAUGAAUGGUUGGACGAAAUAUUUACUGUCUCAUAUUUAAUUUUAUAAUUUAAAUUUUGAGUUAAAAUGCUUAAAUAUUUUUAUAGGACGAGAAGACCCUAUAGAUCUUUACUUUAUUGAUGAUUUAAUUUUUUUGGUUUAUUUAUUAUUGAUUUAUUUUAUUGUUUAGUUGGGGUGACUUUGAGAUAAAAUUAACUCUUAUUUUUUUAUUCAAUUGUUUUUGUUUAUAUGACUUUUUAAUAUUGUUUUAAGAUGAAGAUACCUUAGGGAUAACAGCGUAAUUCCUUUUGAGAGUUCUUAUUGACAGAGGAGAUUGCGACCUCGAUGUUGGAUUAAGAUUAAUUUUAGGUGUAGAAGCUUAAUUAUUAAGUCUGUUCGACUUUUAAAUUCUUACAUGAUCUGAGUUCAAACCGGAG